rnacentral:rRNA from 1 species
AUGAAACAUAUGCUGAGAGGUUGCCUUUCGAGGGCGCCAAUCAGUGUAUCUUUUCGAAAGGACAUGGGGGCAUGGCCUGUUUCUUUCCAACACAAUCGGCAAGGGCAUCAGAUCUGGACCGGCAUAGGUCAGGCCGACGUCUCAGCGGGUCACUCACCCAGCGGACUGGCAUCUUACGCUAUCCGACUUGUCUAUCACAUGCAUGGUUUUUUUUGUGUGUGUAGAAACCAUGUGCGUGGGGUUCGAAGGAGGCCCAAAUUGAGUGAAGCUCAAGAUCAAAGCGGCCCCUCUCAGCUUGUAACGAUCUCGAGCUAG